rnacentral:rRNA from 1 species
GACAGAGGGUGCAAACGUUGUUCGGAAUUACUGGGCGUAAAGGGCUCGUAGGCGGCAACUAAGUCAUACGUGAAAUCCCUCGGCUUAACCGGGGAACUGCGUCUGAUACUGGAUGGCUUGAGUUCGGGAGAGGGAUGCGGAAUUCCAGGUGUAGCGGUGAAAUGCGUAGAUAUCUGGAGGAACACCGGUGGCGAAGGCGGAUCUCUGGGCCAUUACUGACGCUGAGGAGCGAAAGCGUGGGGAGCGAACAGG